UAGUUGAGGAGUUAAGACAGAAACAUAGAAAAAAAAUUUCAGAAAAAAUACAAGGCAGAGAAUGGUAAUGGUGGAUGAAUUCUGUAUUAAAGAAAAGACUUCAAUUCAAUACAGCAGCAGCU